AACGAACGCUGGCGGCAUGCCUAACACAUGCAAGUCGAACGAGACCUUCGGGUCUAGUGGCGCACGGGUGCGUAACGCGUGGGAACCUGCCCUUAGGUUCGGAAUAACUCCCCGAAAGGGGUGCUAAUACCGGAUAAUGUCUUCGGACCAAAGAUUUAUCGCCUUUGGAUGGGCCCGCGUUGGAUUAGCUAGUUGGUAGGGUAAAAGCCUACCAAGGCGACGAUCCAUAGCUGGUCUGAGAGGAUGAUCAGCCACACUGGGACUGAGACACGGCCCAGACUGCUACGGGAGGCAGCAGUGGGGAAUAUUGGACAAUGGGCGAAAGCCUGAUCAAGCAAUGCCGCGUGAGUGAUGAAGGCCUUAGGGUUGUAAAGCUCUUUUACACGGGAUGAUAAUGACAGUACCGGGAGAAUAAGCACCGGCUAACUCCGUG
rnacentral:rRNA from 1 species